rnacentral:tRNA from 1 species
GUCCCUAUCGUCUAGCCUGGCCCAGGACACCGCCCUUUCACGGCGGCGACGGAGGUUCAAAUCCUCCUGGGGACACCA